rnacentral:rRNA from 1 species
UACGUAGGGCGCAAGCGUUGUCCGGAAUUAUUGGGCGUAAAGAGCUCGUAGGCGGUCUGUUGCGUCCGCUGUGAAAACUCGGGGCUUAACCCCGAGCCUGCAGUGGAUACGGGCAGACUAGAGGUAGGUAGGGGAGAAUGGAAUUCCCGGUGUAGCGGUGAAAUGCGCAGAGAUCGGGAGGAACACCGGUGGCGAAGGCGGUCCUCUGGGCCUGACCUGACGCUGAGGAGCGAAAGCGUGGGGAGCGAACAGG